rnacentral:rRNA from 1 species
GACGAACCGUGCGAACGUUAUUCGGAAUCACUGGGCUUAAAGCGCGUGUAGGUGGGGCGGCACGUCCGACGCUGAAAUCCCCCGGCUUAACCGGGGAACUGGCGGGGAUACGACCGUCCUCGAGGGACGUAGGGGGACCUGGAACUUCCGGUGGAGCGGUGAAAUGCGUUGAGAUCGGAAGGAACGCCCGUGGCGAAAGCGAGGUCCUGGACGUCUACUGACACUGAGACGCGAAAGCCAGGGGAGCGAACGGG